AUUGAUGGAUUAGAUGACGAGCACUUAAAGGCCAUAUGCACUCAAACUGGUCUUGGAGGGCUAACAAAGAUGAAGUCAGUGUCCCUCCGACGUAUUAUGUUGGUGCUGCUAGCGAAGAGCUACAUCCACGACAUGCAGAGUAUUCACAUUGCUGGAAAAUAUAUAUAUAUGGAAAUGGGAAAACCAAAAGACGCAAACUUGUUAAGGGCUUAUCAAACAGAUGGAAGACUUAAGCUGAGUGACCUUGAGGACAAAAUUAAAGCCUCCAAAACUCCAGAUGAUCAUUUCAUCAGGCGGUUUGUUUUGUAUGCUAUUGGCAUUAUUUUAGCACCCACGGUACAGGAUUAUGUCGACUCCAAAUAUUUUGUCCUUGUUGAAGACGUCGCAAGAAUUCCCAAAUUUAACUGGGGAUGUUUCACACUGGACCAUUUGCUAACAUCCAUCAAUACUUUUAAUUAUAAGGAUCAAGUCAAUCUACAAGGAAAUCUAGCUUUGCUCCAAUUUUGGUAUUGGGAACAUGUCCAUGCUGGAUCGAUUUUGUAUUCUCGUAUACCCCAUCCACUAAUGGCACGG
rnacentral:rRNA from 1 species